rnacentral:rRNA from 1 species
UAGGGGAUAUUGCACAAUGGGCGGAAGCCUGAUGCAGCAACGCCACGUGAGUGAUGAAGGCCCUCGGGUCGUAAAACUCUUUUCAAGAGGAAGAGGAAGGUCGGUACUCUUGGAAUAAGCCUCGGCUAACUACGUGCCAGCAGCCGCGGUAACACGUAGGAGGCGAGCGUUAUUCGGAUUUACUGGGCGUAAAGCGCGUGUAGGCGGCUGAUCAAGUUGGAUGUGAAAGCUCCCGGCUUAACCGGGAGAGGACGUUCAAAACUGAACAGCUUGAGUAUGAGAGAGGAAAAUGGAAUUCCGGGUGUAGUGGUGAAAUGCGUAGAUAUCCGGAGGAACACCAGUGGCGAAGGCGACUUUCUGGCUCAAGACUGACGCUCAGACGCGAACGCUAGGGUAGCAAACGG